GUGGGUACCCAGCUGACUGAACUACUCACACCUCCAGAAAUUAGACCCCAGGGCACAGUGCCACCCUCCCAGGCUGGCACAUGCUACCCUGGCAGAGGUUCAAGUAGCCCCCUGCCAUCCUCCUACCCCUAUGUCUUCCUCUACUCUCUUCCCUUCUCUCCCCCCUCUCUUUUCUCAGCCAAAGCACAGCUGAGCCUUGGGCAGGGGGAGCGGAGAGACCAAGCUGGGGUGGGGGGUGGAGCUCCAGCAGCACGUUUUCACCUGCCAUUUAAUUGGAUGUAUUUUUAAUUAAUGGGACCUCAGGGACCAACAUGAGACAAUCUGAGCUCUGAAUAGGGGCAGGGGAGGGAUUGAGGAAGGGAGGAGGAUUGGGCCACUGGGUGCGGUUACCGGGAACCCAGGCCCAUCAAUCACUGGCCACUUUUCGUGCUGGCAUGGAGAACAGUGAGGUGGAGGAGCAGGGGAGGUGCUGGGGAGAGGUGCCAGCAUUUCCUCCAGUGGCCAGGACCUCCCAAAGCAGUUGACUUGGGCCUGGAGCCCGAAAUCACAGCCAGGGUAGUAGGUAAGGUGGUUUCUUGGUGUUUUGUCCAGUCGGCUUAGCCCAAGGAAUGUGGUAAACUUGUGAAAGGAAGUUGGGAACGGAGGUCUGAGGUUCCUGAAGAAAGAGGGACAAGCGCGAGGGGCCAUGGACCCAAAGACUGGUGAGGUGACUGGAGGGCAGAGUUGAGAGCAGAGUGGUUCCUCUGUCCUGACGUGAAGAAAGUGUCCUGGAGGUUAUGUACAAAUGAGUGUGGUGCCUUGGGGUCUGGACCAUGGAACCUCACUGCUGCAAGGAAGCCAACGUGGCGUUCAUCUUGCCCGACCCUUUACUUUACAGAUGUGGAAACCAAGAGCCAGAGAGGGGAAUUUGGUGGAAUCCUGUCCUGCAGUUGCUCUGUGUUCCUGCAUUUGGAAAGUUCCUGGAAAUAGGAAAAGGAGAAGCAUUGGACCACUUCAUACCCCCGGCCCUGGGGAGGAGCAGGAUCUGCCUCUCCGGUCCCAGCCUCACGCUGCCCUUCCCUGAGUCGCCCCGAGUCUGCUUGCUUGCUGUUCGAUCUUCAGCCCACUCCACAGCCCGUGGGGUGAGAAGGCCCUUGUGUCCCCGAGCACAGCUGGAGAGACCCCUCCAAGGACCGCUGCCUUCUUUGAAGCACUGAGGGCUGCUGGUGGAGAACUGGGCCAGGGCUGGAAAGGAAGGUUCUGCCAUCAGGGGUUAUGGGGAAGCCUGCAAGUGGGGAGCAGGCAGAGGUGACAUCCUAACCCUCUGGGCAGGGACAUUCACAGUGAGUGUCACUUGGGGGUUUAUUAGUGGCAGCUGUGUACAAGCUGCUCUUUCUAUCUGGAACCCAGAGCAGUGAAAAAGAACACGCAGUGGAGGCUCUGCCACCCUCACUCACCCUUUGUUACCCGUCUCCCCUCCCUACUGCAGCAUAUUGCAGGGGCUGGAAGGUCCUGACACCCUCACCCCAGAUUCUGGGUGUUUCCCUAAAGAACAGAGCCUCCCUCCCUCUGGCCCUGCCGGCCCUGCCUCACACUCCAAGGUCUCUGCAGCCUGCUGGCUGAGCCUGGAGCUUGCCCUGGAGUCCAGGAGAAACCUAGAGCUGUUUGGGGGAAAGAGGGUGGACGAGCUGCAUGGAAGGCAGAGGAGGCAGCAUCCAGAAUUCCCUGCCUUCUGGAGGAAAGGAAAGGAACGGGUCAAGGUGCCUGGCACUGACUUGGCACAGCUUCUUUUCUGUGGGACCCAGCCUCUCCCUCCCUUUCCUGUGCUUGGGAGAACUGCAGAAACUCGAGCCUGUCCCUCGGAUACCUGGAGGACACAUGCAGGUUCCCAGUGCUGGGAAAGGCAGGAGUGAGGGGGAGGGGAGGUGGCAGUGUGUGGUGCCCAUCAGCACCCAAGGGGAGGGCCGAGGAGGAAGCCCGAGGACAUGCCUGCCCAAAACAGCCGCCGUACCCCACCCUCUCCUGCUCCCCCUUCAUGCCAGUGAGCUGUGCCCAAGUACCAGUUCUCCUGGCUGGCAAUCCCGUUCUGUGUGCAGGCAGCCGGCUCCCUCUCCCAGAACAGCAUAGGCUGGGAUCUCUCACACUCCUCACUCUGGC
rnacentral:lncRNA from 1 species